UACUAUUAGUAGCAAAAUUUUAUUGUUGCUACAGUUUUUUAGCCUUUGGAUCAACUCUUUUCAUUAUUUCUAGCCAUUGGAUUAAAUACUAUAACCCAGUGGGGACCACUCAACCCUAGCGGGACCACUCAACUCUAACACGACUAAUAUCAUCCUGACCCUACAAUUUUUCAUCCAAGGGUUAAAAACUUGAUAGCAAAAAGAGCGUUUUACUAUUAUAGUAUUCCAGCAUAAUUCUAUAUAUAUAUAUAUAUAUAUAUAUAUAUAUAUAUAUAUAUAUAUAUAUAGUUCGGCUAGGAUACUAUCGAUAGCACCAAGAGCUUGGUGCUACCGAGUUUUUCGUCAUUAGAUUUAACCCUUUGACUAUUUUAUUAUACUAUUCAACCAAUAACUCACUCAACCCUAGGGGCUCACAUCAUCCUAAUCAUAUAUUUUUUAUCCAAUGGUCGAAAACCUAAUAGCACCAAUAGCUUGGUGCUAUAUAUAUAUAUAUAUAUAUAGAAUUAGGCUAAUAUACUACUACCAAGUUUUUAGCUAUUGGAUUAAGAGACGUGCGGUUAGGAUGAUGUGGGUCCCCUAGGGUUGAAUGGGUGGUUGGUUGAAUAGUAUGAUCUAAUAAAUGAAAAUGAUCAAAAUGGUAGAUCUAACGGCGAAAAACUUGGUAGCACUAAGUGUUUCGUGCUAUUAAUAGCAUAGUAGCCGGACUCUCUCUCUCUAUAUAUGUAUAUAUAUUUUAUAGAGUUGAGCUAGAAUACUAUCGAUAGCAAACGAGCUCCGUUGCCACCCAUUUGUUUUUGAUGAUGGAGUUUCCAAAUCGACGAUCGGUACCGUUGAACAUGAUUUAUACCACUUGAAGUGUGAAAUCACAGGAGAAGUAUUUGAAGUUUUUCUUUUUUUUUUUAAUAUAUUUUUGAUUAAGUCUGUUAGAUUUAGGACAUAUUUGGUGUUAUCGUAGUGCGCCUUUUUUAAGAGUUUUUGUAACUCAACAUCACCGAGGGAUUAUUUCCCUCCGUACAUGGAGCGGAGGAGGUCAUAAAAAAGGCGUUUCAUCAAAAUUAAACUUUAGGUUAAAAUAAAUUUUGAAUUGAAAUAAAAUUCAAUGAAAAUUAUUUUAUUCUGUUUUUUGUUUCGUAACUAUGAAAGUAAAUUUUUUUUUAAUUCUAAUUUUUUUUUUAAAUUCUACUAUUUAUUUGACAAUAAGUGAAUAAUAUAAAACUAUAAUUUAUAUAUAAAUAAUAAAUAAUAAAUUAUAAUAUAAUAAAUAAAAAUAAUAUAAUUAUAUUUUUAUAUAAUUAAAAAACUUAAUCUAAAACAAAUAAAUUAUUUUUUACACAUAAAUUAUAGUAAUACAACAAUAAAAUUAUAAAUUAAAAAAAUAUAUAAAUACUUAACUAAUUAUUUUUUAUCAUAUUUUAAAUCUACAAACUAAAUUAAAAAUAUUAAAAAUUUAACUAAUCAAAAUUAUUAUAUUUUAAAUAUGCAAACUAAAUAAAAGAAUAAUUAGUGGCAUAAUUAAAUAUAUUUAAAUAUAACUAAUAUUACUCAUUAUAUUAUUUUAUUAAUUUUGCUUCAUCUCUUUUCAUCGUAAUUGACCUAAUUCGGUUCGGGAAAAGCCGAAAUCAAUUACACUGUUUCGGAUAAUUCAAUUUUCGACCGUAUCUUUAUUACAGCGAAACAAACAGCAAAAAUAAUUAUUUAUGACUGAAAACGAUUUCACCUCUAUCCACUUUCGUCCCAACAAAUAGGUUCAGAACAACAUGU
rnacentral:lncRNA from 1 species